rnacentral:rRNA from 1 species
AUUCCAGCUCCAAUAGCGUAUAUUAAAGUUGUUGCAGUUAAAAAGCUCGUAUUUGAAUUUUUGUCUGUUGGGGCCUUGUUCUGUCCUUAGUGGCGGAGUUUAGUGUCCCGACGGACUUCCUGGGGGCCAACUAGUUGGUGUUUCAUUACACUGAUUAGGGAACCCCCUCGUUUACUGUGAAAAAAUUAGAGUGUUUCAAGCAGGCGUUUCGCAUUGAAUACAUUAGCAUGGAAUAAUAAGAUAGGACUUUGGUGCUAUUUUGUUGGUUUGCACACCAAGGUAAUGACUAAGAGGGACAGUUGGGGGUAUUCGUAUUAUCAUGUCAGAGGUGAAAUUCUUGGAUUUUGGUAAGACGAACUACUGCGAAAGCAUUUACCAAGGAUGUUUUCAUCG